GCGGGAGUGCUGGAGCGGUCAAACAGGCAGGACUUAAGAUCCUGUGGGUUAGUCCCUACGCAGGUUCGAAUCCUGUCUCCCGCA
rnacentral:tRNA from 1 species